rnacentral:rRNA from 1 species
GACGAACGCUGGCGGCGUGCUUAACACAUGCAAGUCGAACGGAAAGGCCCUGCUUUUGUGGGGUGCUCGAGUGGCGAACGGGUGAGUAACACGUGAGUAACCUGCCCUUGACUUUGGUAUAACUUCAGGAAACUGGGGCUAAUACCGGAUAGGAUCUCCUGCUGCAUGGUGGGGGUUGGAAAGUUUCGGCGGUUGGGGAUGGACUCGCGGCUUAUCAGCUUGUUGGUGGGGUAGUGGCUUACCAAGGCUUUGACGGGUAGCCGGCCUGAGAGGGUGACCGGCCACAUGGGGACUGAGAGACGGCCCAGACUCCUACGGGAGGCAGCAGUGGGGAAUAUUGCACAAUGGGCGGAAGCCUGAGGCAGCAACGCCGCGUGCGGGAUGACGGCCUGCGGGUUGUAAACCGCUUUCGCCUGUGACGAAGCGGGAGUGACGGUAAUGGGUAAAGAAGCACCGGCUAACUACGUG